CGCGUAGGUGGUUUGGUCAGUCAGAUGUGAAAGCCCUGGGCUUAACCUGGGAAUUGCAUUUGAUACUGCCAGACUAGAGUAUGGUAGAGGGAAGUGGAAUUCCGGGUGUAGCGGUGAAAUGCGUAGAUAUCCGGAGGAACAUCAGUGGCGAAGGCGGCUUCCUGGACCAAUGCUGACACUGAGGUGCGAAAGCGUGGGUAGCAAACA
rnacentral:rRNA from 1 species